rnacentral:snoRNA from 1 species
UCUCUGUAGUCCAAGAGAUGCCCUCAGUUGUUAGUACUCUGGGCAUACCAGGCUUGCAGAGAGAGUACCGCCUGUGCGAGGAAGCCGAGGCAUGCCUGUCAGAGUCGCAGCAGUAACAUGCGCAAUAUUCCUCUAACAGUUAUAAUCCUGUUGCCACGGAGAUAAUGACUUAUCCCAUGUCAUUAUUGAUCUAUCAACAGUAAGAGCAAUUUUGCAGUCUGAUAUUGUUUAGCAAAUGGAGUAACAUCUGCUGAACACUGAAAAAACUGCUACAAAU